rnacentral:lncRNA from 1 species
GGGGGGGGGCGGGGGAGACCAUCAUUUAAAUUCUAAAACCUGCUUCUUGUUUGGAUGGCAAUUAGCUGUCCUCUCUGAGGUUGCCCACUGUUUCGAUUCUCUCCAAAGACGCUAAUUAAAUGAGCUUCCUUCUCUUUUUGUAUCUCACUUUCUGCAGCAAGGUGUUCUCUCUUUCUUCUUGCUCCAUCUUGAGGGUGUGGUGACUCGAGGCUGGGUGAGCAUGUCCAUAAAGGAAGCCAUCCCUAUGGGCAGCUUCUGUGGUCUGUUCACCUAAAGGGCAUGGUUAGCUUGUUUCCACAGUGGUGACGCCACAUCGCCAGCAGGCCCAUGCUUGCCCUGGGUCGUUUCUUUUGAGAGGAUCAUAUGAAUUAGAAAUCAUCUCUGGAGUAAUCAGCUCUCUUCCCUGGAAAUUACCAACGAUUGCCAGAUUCCCCCACCCUCACCCCCGACAAUUAAUGUAAGACGAAACCAAUAAUGCACCCAUUAAGGAAAACAUGCAUACAUAUGCAAACACGUACGUCUACAGUAUUCUGAUUUGAAUGUGGAGUGUCCCAUGUAAGUUCCUAUGUUUGAACCCCAAUCUCCAGCUCAUUUGCUGUGGGUCACUGGAGCUGGGCCUGGAGAGACUACAGCAUGACCCCUCUUCCCAGCCACGAUCUGCUUCUAAACUGUGGACGCAGCGUGACCUGCUGCCUGUCUCCUGCCACGGGCUUUUCUCACCAUGAGAAAGCCCAAAUAAACCCUUCCAAAACAUUUUUUAUUAUUUAAUAUUAUUGGGAGGAGGGUGCGUGACCAGUAGCGGUCAGAGGAUAAUUUUAUGCUCUUCUCUACCUGUACAUGAGUUCUGGGCAUCCACCUCAGGUUGUCAGGCUUGGAGACAGUUGCUUUACCUACUGAGCCAGCUUGUGGGCCUUAAACCCUUUGAGAAAUUGAUCUUUGUCCCGUGUUUUGUCUUAGCACAAAGAAAAGAAAUUGUCACACAGACUCAUGGCACCCUCUUUGUUUCCAGGUCAACGAUGUGGUUGCACUCUCUGUGGAGGAGGACGGCUGGUAUCAGCCCUCUGCACCUUGUUGUGUUCCUGCUGACAAAGUGAAUUCUGCCUCCAAGUGUGUACCACUCCCUUAAGGCCCCCACUUCCUGCUGGGCCAUUUGUUAUAAGGCUUGGUUCCCAGGCCUGUGGGGGGUUUAUCAGCCUUCCCUCCCUGAGAAAAGAGAUUGACAUCUAGCCACAGGACAGCCUCUCCUUGGAGUUCCAGGAAAUUCUUUUUGAGUGACAGGAGGUGGUACUCCAGGUGGAACCAACAUUAACUCAGCUUGUCACUGUCACAGGAAUCCUAAACGUAGAUGUCUCACUGACCCCAAGUCCCUUGCUUCUUUGUCUCCCAGAAAAACACAUUCCCCCACUGACCCAGUGUCCCGAGCUGGCCCAGGACAGUGUCUCGUCUUACCUUUUCCACAAGGACAGAGAUGCCAGAAGUCUCCUGGGGGGUCUUUAGAGAAGAACGGGGGCAGCCCUAGAACUGAGAGCCAAUGUAUAGGCUGGUUUCUGUGUGGUCAAACUUGUGCCUCCCUGAUUUACCCCAGUCCUGGCUUGCUCAAAGCCCGCGUCUUUAACUCUAGUCUGCUGCUCUAUGCUGGCAAUGUCUGUCUACAGUCUGUCUAUUCUGUCCUCCCACCACCUAGACCCUCUGCUUUUUUCUCUGAUACACACCUGCGCAUGUGCACACAUGCACACACACACACACACACACACACACACACACACACACACACACACACAGAACACACAUAGUUUCUAAAUCGUCUCCUUGUUCCCACAGCCCAUCACAGGGGCACUCAGGACC